CAGGCUGUGGCAUACUUCUAGUAUGAUUGUUUUUGCUUGGCGAAUGGCCUGCUCAUCUGCAAGCUGAAAGUCUCAAAUUCAUAGAGAUGCCUUUGGUGCAAAUUUGUUCGCCUGCACAGAUUGACCAGGACUCAGUGCUAGUAUCAUUUGGCAAUUUAGCCUGCCUGUCUCGGUUGGCAGGAUGAUAAUGGUUGAAAGUUGAC
rnacentral:lncRNA from 1 species